UUACACACCAGCCUAGACUGGGCCAUCAUGGGUGGAGUUUCCUGUUUAGAAGCAAAACGACAAAACUCAGGUGUGUGUGUGAUUGGUGCUCAGUGAUUCUAGUGGAACGUACUGACAGUAAGAACAAAAUUUGUCUGGAGUCAGCACUUGACACCCUCCAGAGCAGGAGUGAAGGCACCCAGCAACAGAACAAAGGAUCACGAAGAGACACUGGGGAGCUCUGCGGGGGCUUCUGGGUGAAGGGGUGAAUGUGGAGCAGAGUCCUUCAGCCUGGAGCCUCCAGGAGGGAGCCAGCUCUACUCUGAGGCGCAAUUUUUCUACCACAGUGAACAAUGCGCAGUGGUUCAGACAGAAUCCUGGGGGUGGCCUCAACCUUCUGUUUUUCAUGACUUCAGGGAUGAAACAGAAUGGAAGAUUAAACUCCACAAUGAAUUCUAAGGAACUGUACAGUACCCUGCACAUCACGGCCUCCCAACUGGAAGACUCAGCCACCUACCUCUGUGCAGUGGAGGCACAGUGCUCCCAGGAGGAAGUAAUGAAGAGAUGGUGACCCAGACGGACGGUCUUGUUACUUUCCCCAAGGGGCCACUUCUGACCCUGAACUGCACUUACCAGACCAGCGAUUCAGUUUUCCUUUUGUGGUGUGUCCAGUAUUACAAUAAAGCUCCUAAACUCCUCCUGAACUACUCCUUUCUGAGCUCAACAGAAAACCAGUGGACAGAACGUCAAGGUUUUCAGGCCAAUCAUGUUAAGAGUGAUGGCUCCUUCUACUUGCAGAAACCCUCAGUGCAAAUGUCGGACUCAACUGUGUACUACUGCGAUCUUAGAGACACAGUGAGGGGGACUGCAGGCGGAGCUGAGCACAAAUCCAGGUGGGGCCUGGUUGUGGGCAGCUCUGGGAGGGGAGAAUUACGAUUUCUCUCAUUAGUAUCUUGGGUUGGGGACAAUUGGAGAAGGAAAAAUUUCCAGCUUUGAUGUCUCAGAACUCAGGAGCCCUGGUGUUACUACAAGCUAUAGAAAUGCGGAGAGGAAAUC